CCCUGGCUCAGGAUGAACGCUGGCGGCGUGCUUAACACAUGCAAGUCGAACGAUGACUUCUGUGCUUGCACAGAAUGAUUAGUGGCGAACGGGUGAGUAACACGUGAGUAACCUGCCCUUAACUUCGGGAUAAGCCUGGGAAACCGGGUCUAAUACCGGAUACGACCACCUGGCGCAUGCCAUGGUGGUGGAAAGCUUUAUGCGGUUUUGGAUGGACUCGCGGCCUAUCAGCUUGUUGGUUGGGGUAAUGGCCCACCAAGGCGACGACGGGUAGCCGGCCUGAGAGGGUGACCGGCCACACUGGGACUGAGACACGGCCCAGACUCCUACGGGAGGCAGCAGUGGGGAAUAUUGCACAAUGGGCGAAAGCCUGAUGCAGCGACGCCGCGUGAGGGAUGACGGCCUUCGGGUUGUAAACCUCUUUCAGCAGGGAAGAAGCGAAAGUGACGGUACCUGCAGAAGAAGCGCCG
rnacentral:rRNA from 1 species